GUUCGCUUCUGCGGAACAUAUAAUAAAAUUGGAAUGAUACAGAGAAGAUUAGCAUGGCCCCUGCACAAGGAUGACAUUCAAAUUUGUGAAGCAUUCCAUAUUUUU